ensembl:lncRNA
GGUAAAUAUAUUUGUUUAUCUCUGUGGUAUUGCCUGACAUAUAAACAAUAGACUACACAGCUAGCAGUGUUCAAUGGCUGGAGUGUUUCUAUUAAAAGAUAAUACUUUUCAAUCAGGAGACUGGAGCCAUCACUUUGAGGAAAAUUCCCAGGACUUCCUUUUAUUAAGAGAAUUCCAGAACAUAAGAGAGGGACCCGACACCUGCGUUUGGUCAGAAAAAGGUUUCCAAAUUCAAUCAUUUAAAAAAAACACAGAGUGUUUUAGAAAAAGCUGACGUGAAGCCGGCCACGGAUGGAGCGAGGUGGUCUGCAUUCAACACGCAGGGUCGUCAAGGAGACAACAGGUCAGAGGGCGUCACUGUUCUCCGGAAUGUUUCACAUGUUACCGUCUUCCUCUUUCUUAUGGACAACACGCUUUAAACACGCUUCUUAUUUUUUUAACAAGUCAAUGAAAAAAAAAAAAAAACAACAACAACCCAAAUACAACAAUGGUUGAACAUGAGCCAGAGGCAAAAAUAAAAGAAAAGUGAGGGAGGCGCGGGGGUGGGACUCACUGCACAUUUAGAAGGUCUAAAAGAAUUAUCCACACACAUGGCUGAACCGUUAAUAAAAACAUGAUUAAGAGGUUGAAACCGAGGGAGAGGGCUGGUUUUUUUGUCUGAGGGUUGUGGGGAGGGGGGAUGAGUGGGGAACCGGGUAUACACAACUCACAACUUUAGCCAAUCCGGCGGGGGGACGCACUUUCUACAUCGAAACAAGCCUUUGUUUUUUUUUUGUUUUUCCAGACAACCAUGAAAUGCCGUUUAAAAAAGAUUUUUAGUGUAUUUUGACUUGCUUUUGCAGACACUUGAUAUGACCACUGCAAAUCUGCUCCAUAAUCAGCUUUGCUUUUUUGUGCUAAAAAUCUGUACGGAUACUUAUAAAAUCAUUGAUAAAAAUAUUCCUCUGUUAACAAUACGCCUUGGAGGGAGAGCAUGUGAGAGACUCGUGGGGGGGAGGGGGACAGGGGGCUGGCUGGUUGGUUCGCUGGGGGUAGGAAGGGGGUUCAGGGGUCAGAGUGGUUCUCCUCGUUGGCCUCCGCCUCUGCGUUCUCCUUCGCCUUCUUGGUCUUCUUGUCCUCCUUCUUGUCGUUCACCGCCUUUUCUUUCUGCAAGGGCGGGGAGAGAGAACCGUUACAAAAUGGCGGGGGGGCGGAUCAACGUGCGUGCCGCGUUUACCCUUUCUAUUUGGUUAUGUGCGGGGAGCCAUCGAUAGGGAUUACAUUGGGAGGGCAUCGUCGCCGUUUGCCGUUGGCGUUGUAAACGAACGUCGGUUCAUAUUGUAUGUAUAGUUUAUGCAACGCAUGAUCUUACCUUUGCCGCCUUCUUGGCUUUUGGCUCGGCCUGAGGUGGGGCGGGCUUCUGAGAGAAAGGGGGAGGGAAGUUACAUGCUUGUUGGCCAUGGUGCAUGGCCUAGACGCCUUUCAGGCCUUAUGUCCAUGUACUUUCUCAUUAACCUGUGCAGUUGUGUUUUUAUAAUGAGUUAAAUAAUAUUUUGCAAUGUUUUUUUGUUAUAGUAAAGUAAUAAUUUAUUAAUGCAUGACGUAAUCAACUAAUUUACUUAGUAAAAGUAACAUUAUGCACAUUUACUUUUGCCUGGAAGUUUCCUAUUUUUCUAAACAUUUCUAUCCGCAAAUUUGUUCAUUUUAAGCUUUUUUGGUUAUUUAUUUAUAGGACGUACAUGUUGGAUCUUAUAAAAUAGCGGUGUAUGCGUAAUAGAGCUGCUGUAUGUUAUAAUAGCUGAUUAUUCAACUUGAUUACCUUGUGGGGAGUUUAAAGGGCAUUUUUUACUAUUUGAAUGCUACAAUAUGUUUGUUAAGUGAAAUUGAUGACCUUAAUAAGCACCAAGUGAUAGUGCACGUUUUUGAGGCGCUACUUACCGCUGAUAACCUAGCUGAUCUCCUCUUGGGCUGAAAAUACAACAAAUACCGUUAAUCACACUUGAUCUGGUUAUUUUAAUGCUGUAUGACAAAAUGUUACAAGAAACAUUAUGUUCGGAGGGAAAAAAAUGGUUAUAACAGACAUUGUUGGAUGUUUCAAGUGUAAAGUGAUGUGCAAUAUAUUCACCUCCUCCUUGGGCGCAGCGUCU